rnacentral:rRNA from 1 species
CUCCUACGGGAGGCAGCAGUGGGGAAUUUUGGACAAUGGGGGCAACCCUGAUCCAGCCAUGCCGCGUGAGUGAAGAAGGCCUUCGGGUUGUAAAGCUCUUUCGGCCGGAACGAAAUCGCGUACGUGAACAACGUGCGUGGAUGACGGUACUGGAAGAAGAAGCACCGGCUAACUACGUGCCAGCAGCCGCGGUAAUACGUAGGGUGCGAGCGUUAAUCGGAAUUACUGGGCGUAAAGCGUGCGCAGGCGGUUCUGCAAGUCAGAUGUGAAAUCCCCGGGCUUAACCUGGGAACUGCGUUUGAAACUACGGAGCUAGAGUACGGCAGAGGGGGGUGGAAUUCCACGUGUAGCAGUGAAAUGCGUAGAUAUGUGGAGGAACACCGAUGGCGAAGGCAGCCCCCUGGGCCGAUACUGACGCUCAGGCACGAAAGCGUGGGGAGCAAACAGGAUUAGAUACCCUGGUAGUCCACGCCCUAAACUAUGUCAACUAGUUGUCGGGAAAGCAAUUUCUUGGUAACGAAGCUAACGCGUGAAGUUGACCGCCUGGGGAGUACGGUCGCAAGAUUAAAACUCAAAGGAAUUGACGG